CACGUGGGGUCCGAGCGUUGUCCGGAGUUACUGGGCGUAAAGGGCGCGCAGGCGGCGGCGUGGGCCCGGCGUGAAAGCCCCCGGCUCAACCGGGGAACGUCGCCGGGGACCGCGCCGCUUGAGGGCGGCAGGGGCCGGUGGAAUGCCCGGUGUAGUGGUGAAAUGCGUAGAGAUCGGGCGGAACACCCGUGGCGAAGGCGGCCGGCUGGGCCGUCCCUGACGCUGAGGCGCGAAGGCGUGGGGAGCGAACGGG
rnacentral:rRNA from 1 species